CGGCGUGCUUAACACAUGCAAGUCGAACGGAGUUUUUAACGGAAGUUUCGGAUGGAAGUUUAGAAACUUAGUGGCGGACGGGUGAGUAACGCGUGGGUAACCUGCCUCAUACAGGGGGAUAACAGUUAGAAAUGACUGCUAACACCGCAUAAUAUAGCGAAACCGCAUGAUUUUGCUAUCAAAUAUUUAUAGGUAUGAGAUGGGCCCGCGUCUGAUUAGCUAGUUGGUGGGGUAAAAGCCUACCAAGGCGACGAUCAGUAGCCGGCUUGAGAGAGUGACCGGCCACAUUGGGACUGAGACACGGCCCAAACUCCUACGGGAGGCAGCAGUGGGGAAUAUUGGACAAUGGGGGAAACCCUGAUCCAGCGAACCGCCGCGUGAGUGAAGAAGUAUUUCGGUAUGUAAAGCUCUAUCAGCAGGGAAGAUAAUGACAGUACCUGACUAAGAAGCCCCGGCUAACUACGUGCCAGCCGCAGC
rnacentral:rRNA from 1 species